rnacentral:snRNA from 1 species
GUGCUCAUUUGGCAGCACAUUUACUAAAACUGGAAUGAUGCAAAGAUUAGCAUGGCCCCUGUGCAAGGAUGAUGUGCAAACUCAUGAAGCAUUCCAUAUUUUU